rnacentral:rRNA from 1 species
UUGGUGCCUUCGGGAACUGUGAGACAGGUGCUGCAUGGCUGUCGUCAGCUCGUGUUGUGAAAUGUUGGGUUAAGUCCCGCAACGAGCGCAACCCUUAUCCUUUGUUGCCAGCGGUUCGGCCGGGAACUCAAAGGAGACUGCCAGUGAUAAACUGGAGGAAGGUGGGGAUGACGUCAAGUCAUCAUGGCCCUUACGACCAGGGCUACACACGUGCUACAAUGGCAUAUACAAAGAGAAGCGACCU